rnacentral:rRNA from 1 species
CCUACGGGGGGCAGCAGUGAGGAAUAUUGGUCAAUGGGCGCGAGCCUGAACCAGCCAAGUCGCGUGAGGGAGGACGGCCCUACGGGUUGUAAACCUCUUUUGCCGGGGAGCAACGUGCGCCACGUGUGGCGUCACUGAUAGUCCCCGUAGAAAAAGCCUCGGCUAACUCCGUGCCAGCAGCCGCGGUAAUCCGGAGGAUGCGAGCGUUAUCCGGUUUUAUUGGGUUUAAAGGGUGCGUAGGCGGAUCGUUAAGUCAGUGGUCAAAUUUGGGGGCUCAACCCCUUCCCGCCAUUGAAACUGGCGUUCUUGAGUGGAAGAGAAGUAUGCGGAAUGCGUGGUGUAGCGGUGAAAUGCAUAGAUAUCACGCAGAACCCCGAUUGCGAAGGCAGCAUGCCGGAUUCCGACUGACGCUGAAGCACGAAAGCGUGGGGAUCGAACAGGAUUAGAUACCCCUGUAGUC